GGAGAGAUGGCAGAGUGGUUGAAUGCAACGGUCUUGAAAACCGUCGAGGGUGAUGAGCCCUUCGGGAGUUCGAAUCUCCCUCUCUCCGCCA
rnacentral:tRNA from 1 species